GUGUGAAGUGUGAACAGUUGACACAGCCAGCCUCUGUGACUGUGCAGCCAGGUCAACGUCUGACCAUCACCUGUCAGGUCUCUUAUUCUGUUGGCAGCCACUACACAGCUUGGAUCAGAAAGCCUGCAGGGAAAGGACUGGAGUGGAUUGGAAUGAGAUCUACUAGAGGUUCAUUCUAUAAAGAUUCACUAAAGAACAAGUUCAGUAUCGACUUGGACUCUUCCAGCAACACAGUGACUCUAAACGAACAGAAUGUGCAGCCUGAAGACACUGCUGUGUAUUACUGUGCCAGAGAUCCACAAUAA